rnacentral:rRNA from 1 species
UACGUAGGGUGCAAGCGUUGUCCGGAAUUAUUGGGCGUAAAGAGCUCGUAGGCGGUCUGUCGCGUCUGCUGUGAAAACUCAGGGCUUAACCCUGAGCUUGCAGUGGGUACGGGCAGACUAGAGUGCGGUAGGGGAGACUGGAAUUCCUGGUGUAGCGGUGAAAUGCGCAGAUAUCAGGAGGAACACCGGUGGCGAAGGCGGGUCUCUGGGCCGAUACUGACGCUGGAGGAGCGAAAGCCGUGGGGGAGCGAACAGG